UUUUGUUAUGUAAUUGUGUAUUUAGUUUAGCCACGAAAUGUAAUUCAGUUUUCCAGUUGUAUUUUAUUUCUUUCUUUUCACUCAUGUUCAAUUGCUCUAAACUGUGCCAGAUCAAAUCAGCUGUAAGGUUGCCAAUGAAGUUUGGAAGCCAUAGAGGCUUUUGCUUUUGUAGAGUAUGUUACUCAGCAGGAGGCACAAAAUGCUCUCAAAGCACUUUCAAGCACCCAUCUCUAUGGGAGACAUCUGGUGAUAGAGAGAGCGAAAGAAGGUGAGAGUUUGGAAGAACUGCGAGCACGAACAGCUUCUCAAUUUAGUGACAACCACAAUGGAUUUCAAGCUAUUAAAUUAUCCAAGAAAAGAAAGGACGUUGACAUCUUAGAUGAAGGGAAGAUGAAGUUUGGAAGAUUUGAUGACUAAACAGUUUUUGUGCAUAUGUCCUGAAAAUUAUGGGAUCACAAUUUUGUCAUAAGUUCUAAGAUAUCGCAUACCAUCUCAAGUGUUAAACAGCUUCUAACAUUAGUUUUGUAUUCUGUAUCCAUAAUUCAAUCUCCUAUAAAAUUUUGUUCUCUUAUUUACACUAAA